rnacentral:rRNA from 2 species
CUAUACAUGCAAGUCGAACGCGUCUCCGUUGAUGAUUUUAGGUGCUUGCACUUGAAAGAUUUAACAUUGAGACGAGUGGCGAACUGGUGAGUAACACGUGGGUAACCUGCCCUUGAAGUAGGGGAUAACACUUGGAAACAGGUGCUAAUACCGUAUAACAACCAAAACCACCUGGUUUUGGUUUAAAAGACGGCUUCGGCUGUCACUUUAGGAUGGACCCGCGGCGUAUUAGCUUGUUGGUAAGGUAACGGCCUACCAAGGCGAUGAUACGUAGCCGACCUGAGAGGGUAAUCGGCCACAUUGGGACUGAGACACGGCCCAAACUCCUACGGGAGGCAGCAGUAGGGAAUCUUCCACAAUGGACGAAAGUCUGAUGGAGCAACGCCGCGUGAGUGAUGAAGGGUUUCGGCUCGUAAAACUCUGUUGUUGGAGAAGAACAGGUGUCAGAGUAACUGUUGACAUCUUGACGGUAUCCAACCAGAAAGCCACGGCUAACUACGUGCCAGCAGCCGCGGUAAUACGUAGGUGGCAAGCGUUGUCCGGAUUUAUUGGGCGUAAAGCGAGCGCAGGCGGUUUUUUAGGUCUGAUGUGAAAGCCUUCGGCUUAACCGGAGAAGUGCAUCGGAAACCGGGAGACUUGAGUGCAGAAGAGGACAGUGGAACUCCAUGUGUAGCGGUGAAAUGCGUAGAUAUAUGGAAGAACACCAGUGGCGAAGGCGGCUGUCUGGUCUGUAACUGACGCUGAGGCUCGAAAGCAUGGGUAGCGAACAGGAUUAGAUACCCUGGUAGUCCAUGCCGUAAACGAUGAGUGCUAAGUGUUGGAGGGUUUCCGCCCUUCAGUGCUGCAGCUAACGCAUUAAGCACUCCGCCUGGGGAGUACGACCGCAAGGUUGAAACUCAAAGGAAUUGA